rnacentral:ncRNA from 15 species
GGUAUAUAGCUCAAAUGGCAGAGUGUCCGCUUAGCAUGCGGAAGGUUUUGGGUUCGAUUCCCAAUAUAUCC